CACGUAGGGCGCAAGCGUUGUCCGGAAUUAUUGGGCGUAAAGAGCUCGUAGGCGGUCUGUUGCGUCCGCUGUGAAAACCCGGGGCUUAACCCCUGGCUUGCAGUGGAUACGGACAGACUAGAGGUAGGUAGGGGGAGAAUGGAAUUCCUGGUGUAGCGGUGAAAUGCGCGAUAUCAGGAAGAACACCCGUGGCGAAGGCGGUUCUCUGGGACGGGUACUGACGCUGAGGAGCGAAAGCGUGGGGAGCGAACAGG
rnacentral:rRNA from 1 species